AGAAUCAACGCUGGCGGCGCGCUUAACACAUGCAAGUCGAACGAGAAAGGGGAGCAAUCCCUGAGUAAAGUGGCGUACGGGUGAGUAACACGUGGGUAAUCUACCUCUUUGAGUGGAAUAACCCUGGGAAACCGGGGCUAAUACCGCAUAAGCCUGAGAAGGGAAAGCCGAAAGGCGCUGAGAGAGGACGCCCGCGGCCGAUUAGCUAGUUGGUGAGGUAAGACGCCCACCGAAGGCAUAGAUCGGUA
rnacentral:rRNA from 1 species